rnacentral:misc_RNA from 1 species
CAUAGUCUUAACGCAAACGUCUUGCCCCCUCCCCCUUUUUAGUUAGUCCUACACGAUUGAUUUGGCCGCCUGAUGGGUUAACUGCCUGCAUUCUUUCACCGGCAUAGCAUGGUAACACGGAUGAAGCCCAAACGAAGUAAAGAACCACUCGACGUUCAUUUACAGAGUGAGAUGCAAUUUACGUGAUGCAGAUUAACAACUAUGGGCACUAUUCCCCACA